rnacentral:lncRNA from 1 species
GGGGCAUGUGGAAGAUAUAAUUAAGGAAAUAAGAUGGUCACACGCAUCAGCACAUCUAAAGGGAAUAGAUGAAAGUACAAUGGAACAUUAAAACCUUGAGAACAAUUUAGAUACUUGAACACACACAAGGGAGUGCUAACAACUUCAGAUGUUAGAAGAUCAUAAUAGUUUGCAUCUCAUUUGACAAAAGGUUGUACAAUAGUUUGCAUCUCACAAUAGUUUGUACAAAAGGUGUUCAAUUUACUAUCCAGAAAAAUCAUCUCACUCUCUUCUUGUUUUUUUGGUCCGGCAAAAGUAAUUGUAGUAUCCAUUUUUCUUCUUUUGUUGGUGUUACUUUAGUCUUCAAUCCGUUCAAAACUGUUUACAGCCUUUUUUUCCCUUAAAUUAGCUUCUACUGUGGACGCUACAUUAUUUUUGUCUUGCCCACAAGACAAAAGAUUCAGAAAUUUCUAGGUUCCUCAGCUGUCUAAAUUCUUAAAAUUAAUUGAACCUUUUACAUGACACUUGUGCAGUUGUGCGCGUCAACUCUAACAGGUUGGUGAAUAGAUUAGUCGAGUUGGGCACAAGUUGGCCCAAACCUCACACAAUUGUUGGAAAGAAUUAAGGGUAUCUGAACCAAUAUAUUUUAUUUCAUUUAUCAUGAACCACAUUACAAACUUGACCAACAUCCAUAANNN